rnacentral:lncRNA from 1 species
CUCCACUCGCAGGGACGGACCGUCUUGGCCUACAGUAACAAGCUGCUCCUGCCUAGGGUGACUCCGUCGUUUUGGCCUUGCUGGUGAUUUUUCCAAGAAAGGAGUCAGAGGACGGGAUCCUAGUCUGCACUCUACGCUCGGGUGUGUCUGGUCAUUCUGCGGCCAAGAGCACACGAGAGCUGCGGGCAGACUCCCGCCCCGACACCCGUGGUGCCGAAAGCAGGGUUCUGACGCCAGGAGGAAGAGGAGGAGCCAGCAGUGGCCGGCGGGUGCCAGCACAUGGUGGCGAAGGCCAGACUGGCCACCACUGACCCACACAGAGCCACACAGCAGAGCCAGCUGGGGACAGAGGCCACCGUGUGCACCCAAGGUCCCUUGCCCAGCCACUGCACAGUCACCAGCCCCCACCCAUGCUACGGAGGAGGCACAGGGGUGGAUGGCGGCAGCCUGCAGGGACCCGGGCAGGCUGGGAGCAGCUGCAGCCCCCGAGUACCCGGCACCUGUACCGCAGCACCAGGCCACACCGACCCAAGGCCACCUAGGACUGACCUGCCGAGCAGAGGUGCCAGAGCAUCGGCAGUGAGUACCUGGGCCUGUUCAAGCCCCCGCAGGGACAUAGGACACGAGGGCCUGCGGCCAUGUGCCCACCACCUCACUGGGUGUAUCUUACACUGGGACUUCUUUCUGAUCAUGUCCUUGAGCUCUGUC